AGGAUUAGAGUGAUGUGUGUGUUGAUUUGUGAGUUUUGACAUAAAGCAUGCAAGUGGUGCAAGUGGUGUGUGUGAAAGGGAAUUAAUCCUUACACACCCAUCACCAUUUCCAUCACCUUUCAAAUAAAUAUCUAAUGCAAUAAAUCAUUUGAAAAACAUAAAACAUAAACUUUAUGAAAUAAAUCAAAACUUUGAAUCAAAACACAAAACUUUUUGUUCUUGGCAAAAAUGUCAAGAACAAUGAAGAACAUUCAUGAAAAACCCAAAAUUUUUCCAUGAACUUUUUUCCACCCAAAAACAUUCCAAAACCAUUCAAACUUAAGGGAAAUAACAUCUAACCAAACUAGGGUACAUAGGGGUUCCAAAAGUCACUUGAAAACACUUUUAACAAGUCAAACAAGAACCCAAAAAUCCACCCUUUGGAUUUGGCCGAAUUUUCCCAAAAGCAUGGCACCAAAUUUUAGCUCCAAUAUUCAUGCUCAUAUGAACUACAUCUACAACAUUUGAGAUGGCAAAUUUUCUAACAAAAUUUACAUUCAAAGAAACAAGAAUAAAGCUUGUAACAAUUAUAACUUUUAAAUCAAAGACUAUGAACUACAAAACCCAAAAGGAUUCACCAACUACUAGACCUAGGCUCUGAUACUACUUGAAGGAUAAUUUUGUGAAAACAUGUUCAUUUAAGCAACAUCUAUAAGCAUGCAAUUAACAAUUAAAGGCGGAAUCAUG
rnacentral:lncRNA from 1 species